UACGGGGGGAGCAAGCGUUGUUCGGAUUUACUGGGCGUAAAGGGCGCGUAGGCGGCCAGCGCAAGUCAGUUGUGAAAUCUCCGGGCUUAACUCGGAACGGUCAACUGAUACUGCGCGGCUAGAGUGCAGAAGGGGCAACUGGAAUUCUCGGUGUAGCGGUGAAAUGCGCAGAUAUCAGGAGGAACACCGGUGGCGAAGGCGGGUCUCUGGGCCGAUACUGACGCUGAGGAGCGAAAGCGUGGGGAGCAAACAGG
rnacentral:rRNA from 1 species